AGAGCGCUUUCCUGUCGCCGCGAGGGGAAGUGGGAGGAAGCAAAAGGGGAGGGGACUGCGCAUGCUCGUUGUAAGCCAAUUGAUCGCGCACUGUAGGAAUGCGGCUCCCAAAGACCUCACAACCUCUGAGGAUGCCUGCCAUAGAUGUGGGUGAAACGUCAGGUGAAUGCUUCCGGACAUGGACAGACAGCCCAGAAAACUCACAGCAACCCAGUGAUUCCAGCCUUCGGCAACACAUUGACUAUGUGGAUAAGGUAGCAAUUUAGCCCUUAAUUGUCUCCCGAUUCUAGCCACAUCUGGGACAUUUCAAACUGCAGCUCACAUAACCAUAUUCACUUUUUGCCCCUGGGUUGCAAGGCAGAAGAAGGCCUUCCAUAGAUUCCCAGCUGUCACUCUCAGACCAAGUUGCUUGUGGCCAUAGGGGAGCUUACCGAAAUACUACCUGUUUCUUCCUUUUCUCAGAAGAUAAGCAAUGUUCAUCCUUUGGUUCUCUGGUGUCCACUGGUUUGCGUUUUUUUUCACUCCCUCCAUUAGAUGACGUUUACUGCUUGGGAGGAGAGCAAUGACCAACUUAAGUAAAAUAGUGAAGAGUAGAGACAUCACACUGGCAACGAAGGUCCGCAUAGUGAAAGCAAUGAUAUUCCCCAUAGUAACCUAUGGAUGCGAGACUGGAUCAUAAGGAAGGCUGACUGAAGGAAGCUUCUGAACUGUGGUGUUGGAGGAACAUUCUGAGAUUGCCUUGGACUGAAAUGAGAUCCAACCAGUCUAUAAAAGGUAAAGGUUUCCCCUGACGUGAAGUACAGUCGUGACUGACUCUGGGGGUUGGUGCUCAUCUCCAUUUCUAAGCCAAAGAGCCGGCGUUGUCCAUAGACAUCUCCAAGGUCAUGUGGCUGGCAUGACUGCAUGGAGCGCUGUUACCUUCCCACCGGAGCGGUACCUUUUGAUCUCACAUUUGCAUGUUUUCGAACUGCUAGGUUGGCAGGAGCUGGGGCUAACAGCAGGCGCUCAUUCUGCUCCCGGGAUUUGAACCUGGGACCUUUUGGUCCGCAAGUUCAGCAGCUCAGCACUUUAACACACUGUGCCACCAGGGGCCCCAACCAGUCUAUACUCCAGGAAAUAAUGCCCGACUGCUCACUGGAGGGAAUGAUAUUAGAGGCAAAGAUGAAGUAAUUUGGCCACAUAAUGAGAAGGCAGGAAAGCUUGGAGAAGACAAUGAUGCUGGGGAAAAUUGAAGGAAAAAGGAAGAGGGGCCGACCAAGGGCAAGAUGGGUGGAUGGUAUCCUUGAAGUGACUGGCUUGAUCUUGAAGGAGCUGUGGGUGACCAUGGCCAACAGGGAGCUCUGGCGUGGGCUGGUCCAUGAGGUCAUGAAGAGUCAAAAGCGACUGAUCGAAGAAAAAACAACAGUUAACACUGUUGUUAUUGUGAUCUACUUGAUAUUAUUUAGCCCUAAAGCAGUGGUUCUCAACCUGUGGGCCCUGAGGUGUUUUAGCCUACAACUUCCAGAAAUCCCAGCCAGUUUACCUGCUAUUAGGAACUGUCGGAGUUGAAGUCCAAAACACCUGGAGGCCCAAAGGUUGGGAACUACUAUUGUAGUAGAUGCACCUUUGGUUUCAUGGCUCAGCAAGAAUUCCUUCAUUUCCCUGCCUGACAUCUUAAUUGUACCACAUUGGUUCCACACUCCUGUUCUCAAUCUGUUGUAUUUGGCUUGGUUUUAUCAGGAAAAAUUGCUUUUGUAUCUUUAAAACAAUAAACAUCAAUUGCUCA